rnacentral:lncRNA from 1 species
CAGAUUCAUACACUCCCAGGUCAGCUGGCAAUUAAGCCUAGAAGGAAGUAUCUAACAGACUCUCACAUGCAAGCAAACAGGAAAACCAAAGAGAGGAGGACAAGUGAGCCGCGUGCUCAUCUAUGCUGUGCUUGUGGGGGAGGCUGCAGAUCUCAGAUGCUGAUAAGCAAGGAUGGACCAGAUGGCUUGCUACCUUUCUGCCUUUCUCACGUUGUUUGGGCCAUUUUGUUCCUAAAGAUAUUUUAAAACAGCCAAACAGGAUUCGAGUGAUGCAUUUGGAUGGCUUAGUUCCCUGCAUUGUGUCUAGAGCCUCGAACGCAGCAGACGCUUAGCUCCAACGUGGCUGUAGUGGCUUCAUCCUCACAACUUCGGUCUUUUAACUGGAAGACUUUGGAUAACCGUCUCGUGGGCUUAUUCGCUGGCAGUUACAAAUCAGUCUGGUGGUAAUUAUGCCUGCAGAUCAGCUAUUAAGUUUAUGUGCUUGUCAAAAUUUGACUCUAUGCUCCAUUGAAAUGUAAUUAGAGCCACUUAGAGCUGGUCAGACGCCAAUCU